rnacentral:rRNA from 1 species
UACGGGGGGGGGCAAGCGUUGUUCGGAAUUACUGGGCGUAAAGGGCCAGUAGGCGGCCAACUAAGUCCGACGUGAAAUCCCCAGGCUUAACCUGGGAACUGCGUCGGAUACUGGAUGGCUUGAAUUCGGGAGAGGGAUGCAGAAUUCCAGGUGUAGCGGUGAAAUGCGUAGAUAUCUGGAGGAAUACCGGUGGCGAAGGCGGCAUCCUGGACCGACAUUGACGCUGAACGGCGAAAGCUAGGGGAGCAAACGGG